CGUCAAUUUCUUUUGGUUUGCUGUAAGGUCCCCCGAGGGAAUUUUUCGCAAACGGGCCUCAGCUGAUGGAGCAACGCCGCGUGAGUGAUGAAGGAUUUCGGUUCGUAAAACUCUCUUGUAAGGGAAGAACAAGUACAGUAGUAACUGGGUGUACCUUGACGGUACCCUAUUAGAAAGCCACGGGUAAAUAUGUGCCAGCAGCCGCGGUAAUAUGUAGGUGGCAAGCGUUGUCCGGAAUUAUUGGGCGUAAAGCGCGCGCAGGUGGUUUCUUAAGUGUGAUGUGAAAGCCCACGGCUCAACCGUGGAGGGUCAUUGGAAACUGGGAGACUUGAGUGCAGAAGAGGAUAGUGGAAUUUCAAGUGUAGCGGUGAAAUGUGUAGAGAUUUGGAGGAACACCAGUGGCGAAGGGGACUAUCUGGUCUGUAACUGACACUGAGGCGCGAAAGCGUGGGGAGCAAACAGGAUUAGAUACCCUGGUAGUCCACGCCGUAAACGAUGAGUGCUAAGUGUUAGGGGGUUUCCGCCCCUUAGUGCUGCAGCUAACGCAUU
rnacentral:rRNA from 1 species